AUGCUGUACCGCCGGUGGCGGUGACGGCGAACACCAAAGGGCAGCGGAGAUUCUUUACUGAAAAUCAUCAACUGGUCUACAGUUCCUGGGCUAAUGGGUGCUUUCCGCGUUCCCGAGCACCCCUUCGUUCCGACCGCGGGAUUCCUCAUUUCGACGAAAGUGGCCGAGAGUAGUGUAAGAGUGGUAGUAAGUACACGAGGGGAUCGCUAUCUCUCGCCUUUUCGUAACUAGGUACCGUCACCGUAGUGAGUGCUAUGGGAGAUAUACGUGUACGCGCACGUGCCUUUAUGUAAAAGGCCCAAGUAUAUGGUUACGCACGCCUACGUGCGGGCUGCGCUUACAGUUAUGAAGACGACGACGUCUCGAAUUAUUAUUGCAUACCGGCGGAAUGUAAUGUGUCUGUCGUGGACCUAACAAUGUAACAGACAGAUGAAUAACAGAGCGGCAACGCUAAGAAUUCACGUGAUAAAGCUUUAGUUCUCAUUGUUAGAAAUAGUAUAAAAUAUGUUUAUGUUAACUGAUAACAAAUAUUAACGCUUAGUCGCAAUUUCAAACUGCUUUUAGGAUAAAUAGGUGUGUCAUUAACUAUUGCAUAGACAGUAACUUUUUAUAACAUGUU